GACGAACGCUGGCGGCGUGCUUAACACAUGCAAGUCGAACGGAAAGGCCCUGCUUUUGUGGGGUGCUCGAGUGGCGAACGGGUGAGUAACACGUGAGUAACCUGCCCUUGACUUUGGGAUAACUUCAGGAAACUGGGGCUAAUACCGGAUAGGAGCUCCUGCUGCAUGGUGGGGGUUGGAAAGUUUCGGCGGUUGGGGAUGGACUCGCGGCUUAUCAGCUUGUUGGUGGGGUAGUGGCUUACCAAGGCUUUGACGGGUAGCCGGCCUGAGAGGGUGACCGGCCACAUUGGGACUGAGAGACGGCCCAGACGCCUACGGGAGGCAGCAGUGGGGAAUAUUGCACAAUGGGCGGAAGCCUGAUGCAGCAACGCCGCGUGCGGAAUGACGGCCUUCGGGUUGUAAACCGCUUUCGCCUGUGACGAAGCGUGAGUGACGGUAAUUGGUAAAGAAGCACCGGCUAACUACGUG
rnacentral:rRNA from 1 species